UACGUAGGGUGCGAGCGUUAAUCGGAAUUACUGGGCGUAAAGCGUGCGCAGGCGGUUCGUUAUGUCCGAUGUGAAAGCCCCGAGCUUAACUUGGGAAUGGCAUUGGAAACUGGCGGGCUGGAGUGCGGCAGAGGGGGGUGGAAUUCCACGUGUAGCAGUGAAAUGCGUAGAGAUGUGGAGGAACACCGAUGGCGAAGGCAGCCCCCUGGGCUAACACUGACGCUCAGGCACGAAAGCGUGGGGAGCAAACAGG
rnacentral:rRNA from 1 species